AGAGUUUGAUCAUGGCUCAGAUUGAACGCUGGCGGCAGGCUUAACACAUGCAAGUCGAGCGGGGGAGAUUGCUUCGGUAAUUGACCUAGCGGCGGACGGGUGAGUAAUACUUAGGAAUCUGCCUAUUAAUGGGGGACAACAUCUCGAAAGGGAUGCUAAUACCGCAUACGCCCUACGGGGGAAAGCAGGGGAUCACUUGUGACCUUGCGUUAAUAGAUGAGCCUAAGUCGGAUUAGCUAGUUGGUGGGGUAAAGGCCUACCAAGGCGACGAUCUGUAGCGGGUCUGAGAGGAUGAUCCGCCACACUGGGACUGAGACACGGCCCAGACUCCUACGGGAGGCAGCAGUGGGGAAUAUUGGACAAUGGGGGGAACCCUGAUCCAGCCAUGCCGCGUGUGUGAAGAAGGCCUUAUGGUUGUAAAGCACUUUAAGCGAGGAGGAGGCUCUCUUGGUUAAUACCCAAGAUGAGUGGACGUUACUCGCAGAAUAAGCACCGGCUAACUCUGUGCCAGCAGCCGCGGUAAUACAGAGGGUGCGAGCGUUAAUCGGAUUUACUGGGCGUAAAGCGUGCGUAGGCGGCUUUUUAAGUCGGAUGUGAAAUCCCCGAGCUUAACUUGGGAAUUGCAUUCGAUACUGGGAAGCUAGAGUAUGGGAGAGGAUGGUAGAAUUCCAGGUGUAGCGGUGAAAUGCGUAGAGAUCUGGAGGAAUACCGAUGGCGAAGGCAGCCAUCUGGCCUAAUACUGACGCUGAGGUACGAAAGCAUGGGGAGCAAACAGGAUUAGAUACCCUGGUAGUCCAUGCCGUAAACGAUGUCUACUAGCCGUUGGGGCCUUUGAGGCUUUAGUGGCGCAGCUAACGCGAUAAGUAGACCGCCUGGGGAGUACGGUCGCAAGACUAAAACUCAAAUGAAUUGACGGGGGCCCGCACAAGCGGUGGAGCAUGUGGUUUA
rnacentral:rRNA from 1 species